rnacentral:rRNA from 1 species
AUCCUGGCUCAGAGCGAACGUUUGCGGCGGGCCUAACACAUGCAAGUCGAACGGGCUAGCAAUAGUCAGUGGCGCACGGGUGCGUAACACGUGGGUAAUCAACCCUUCAGCCUGGGAUAACGACUCGAAAGGGUCGCUAAUACCGGAUACGGCGCGAGAGGCUUCGGCUUCUCACGAGAAAGCCACGCGAAGGGGCACUGAAGGACGAGCCUGCGGCCCAUCAGCUAGUUGGUGAGGUAAGGGCUCACCAAGGCUAAGACGGGUAGCUGGUCUGAGAGGAUGAUCAGCCACACUGGAACUGAGACACGGUCCAGACUCCUACGGGAGGUAGCAGUGGGGAAUAUUGCGCAAUGGGCGAAAGCCUGACGCAGCCACGCCGCGUGAGCGAUGAAGGCCUUCGGGUCGUAAAGCUCUGUGGGGAGAGACGAAGAAAGCCUGUGAAGAGCAGGCCUUGACGGUAUCUCCUUAGCAAGCACCGGCUAACUCCGUG